CUCUUUGCGCAGAGGCAAUAUCGUAACCAAUGAGGUGAAUCCGAGGUGCGAUUAUUGUUAGUUGAAAACUUAUUUCUAUUUCUCAUAUCUCCAGAUUUUAACGCAUUUAGGUCAUGUGAGCCAUUGUCUAGGUACUUUACAGUU